ACUACGGGUGGCAGCAGUGGGGAAUAUUGUACAAUGGGGGAAACCCUGAUGCAGCGACGCAGCGUGAGUGAAGAAGUAUUUCGGUAUGUAAAGCUCUAUCAGCAGGGAAGAAAAUGACGGUACCUGAUUAAGAAGCCCCGGCUAACUACGUGCCAGCAGCCGCGGUAAUACGGAGGAUGCUAGAGUUAUCUGGAUUUAUUGGGUUUAAAGGGUGCGUAGGCGGGGUAUCAAGUCAGCGGUAAAAUCGUGGAGCUCAACUCCAUCCAGCAGUUGAAACUGAUGGUCUUGAGUGGGCGAGAAGUAUGCGGAAUGCGUGGUGUAGCGGUGAAAUGCAUAGAUAUCACGCAGAACUCCGAUUGCGAAGGCAGCAGACCGGCGCCCGACUGACGCUGAAGCACGAAAGCGUGGGUAUCGAACAGGAUUAGAUACCCCAGUAGUC
rnacentral:rRNA from 1 species